rnacentral:rRNA from 1 species
AGACCCGAAACCCGGUGAUCUAGCCAUGGGCAGGUUGAAGGUUGGGUAACACUAACUGGAGGACCGAACCGACUAAUGUUGAAAAAUUAGCGGAUGACCUGUGGCUGGGGGUGAAAGGCCAAUCAAACCGGGAGAUAGCUGGUUCUCCCCGAAAGCUAUUUAGGUAGCGCCUCGUGAAUUCAUCUCCGGGGGUAGAGCACUGUUUCGGCUAGGGGGCCAUCCCGGCUUACCAACCCGAUGCAAACUGCGAAUACCGGAGAAUGUUAUCACGGGAGACACACGGCGGGUGCUAACGUCCGUCGUGAAGAGGGAAACAACCCAGACCGCCAGCUAAGGUCCCAAAGUCAUGGUUAAGUGGGAAACGAUGUGGGAAGGCCCAGACAGCCAGGAUGUUGGCUUAGAAGCAGCCAUCAUUUAAAGAAAGCGUAAUAGCUCACUGGUCGAGUCGGCCUGCGCGGAAGAUGUAACGGGGCUAAACCAUGCACCGAAGCUGCGGCAGCGACACUCAGGUGUUGUUGGGUAGGGGAGCGUUCUGUAAGCCUGCGAAGGUGGCCUGUGAGGGUUGCUGGAGGUAUCAGAAGUGCGAAUGCUGACAUAAGUAACGAUAAAGCGGGUGAAAAGCCCGCUCGCCGGAAGACCAAGGGUUCCUGUCCAACGUUAAUCGGGGCAGGGUGAGUCGACCCCUAAGGCGAGGCCGAAAGGCGUAGUCGAUGGGAAACGGGUUAAUAUUCCCGUACUUGGUGUUACUGCGAAGGGGGGACGGAGAAGGCUAUGUUGGCCGGGCGACGGUUGUCCCGGUUUAAGCGUGUAGGUGUGUGUUCCAGGUAAAUCCGGUUCACUUUAACACUGAGGCGUGAUGACGAGGCACUACGGUGCUGAAGCAACAAAUGCCCUGCUUCCAGGAAAAGCCUCUAAGCAUCAGGUAACAUCAAAUCGUACCCCAAACCGACACAGGUGGUCAGGUAGAGAAUACCAAGGCGCUUGAGAGAACUCGGGUGAAGGAACUAGGCAAAAUGGUGCCGUAACUUCGGGAGAAGGCACGCUGACAUGUAGGUGAAGUGAUUUACUCAUGGAGCUGAAGUCAGUCGAAGAUACCAGCUGGCUGCAACUGUUUAUUAAAAACACAGCACUGUGCAAACACGAAAGUGGACGUAUACGGUGUGACGCCUGCCCGGUGCCGGAAGGUUAAUUGAUGGGGUCAGCGCAAGCGAAGCUCCUGAUCGAAGCCCCGGUAAACGGCGGCCGUAACUAUAACGGUCCUAAGGUAGCGAAAUUCCUUGUCGGGUAAGUUCCGACCUGCACGAAUGGCGUAAUGAUGGCCAGGCUGUCUCCACCCGAGACUCAGUGAAAUUGAACUCGCUGUGAAGAUGCAGUGUACCCGCGGCAAGACGGAAAGACCCCGUGAACCUUUACUAUAGCUUGACACUGAACAUUGAGCCUUGAUGUGUAGGAUAGGUGGGAGGCUUUGAAGCGUGGACGCCAGUCUGC